rnacentral:rRNA from 1 species
AUGGUUAAGUUAGAAAGGGCGCACGGUGAAUGCCUUGGCACUAGGAGCCGAUGAAGGACGGGACUAACACCGAUAUGCUUCGGGGAGCUGUAAGUGAGCUUUGAUCCGGAGAUUUCCGAAUGGGGAAACCCACUGUUCGUAAUGGAACAGUAUCUUUAUCUGAAUACAUAGGAUAUUGAAGGCAGACCCGGGGAACUGAAACAUCUAAGUAACCGGAGGAAGAGAAAGCAAAUGCGAUUGCGUGAGUAGCGGCGGGCAAAACGGGAUUAGCCCAGACCAAGAGGCGUGCCUCUUGUGGUUGUAGGACACUCUAUACGGAGUUACAAAGGAACGAAGUAAAUGAAGCGACCUGGAAAGGUCCGUCGAAGAAGGUAACAACCCUGUAGUUGAAACUUCGUUCCCUCUUGAGUGGAUCCUGAGUACGGCGGAACACGUGAAAUUCCGUCGGAAGCUGGGAGGACCAUCUCCCAAGGCUAAAUACUACCUAGUGACCGAUAGUGAACCAGUACCGUGAGGGAAAGGUGAAAAGCACCCCGGAAGGGGAGUGAAAGAGAUCCUGAAACCGUGUGCCUACAAGUAGUCAGAGCCCGUUAACGGGUGAUGGCGUGCCUUUUGUAGAAUGAACCGGCGAGUUACGAUCCCAUGCAAGGUUAAGCUGAUAAGGUGGAGCCGUAGCGAAAGCGAGUCUGAAUAGGGCGUUUAGUAUGUGGUUGUAGACCCGAAACCAGGUGAUCUACCCAUGUCCAGGGUGAAGUUCAGGUAACACUGAAUGGAGGCCCGAACCCACGCACGUUGAAAAGUGCGGGGAUGAGGUGUGGGUAGCGGAGAAAUUCCAAUCGAACCUGGAGAUAGCUGGUUCUCUCCGAAAUAGCUUUAGGGCUAGCCUCAUGUUGUGAGAGUCUUGGAGGUAGAGCACUGAUUGGACUAGGGGCCCCCAACGGGUUACCGAAUUCAGUCAAACUCCGAAUGCCAAAGACUUAUCCAUGGGAGUCAGACUGCGAGUGAUAAGAUCCGUAGUCAAAAGGGAAACAGCCCAGACCACCAGCUAAGGUCCCCAAGUAUACGUUAAGUGGAAAAGGAUGUGGAGUUGCUUAGACAACCAGGAUGUUGGCUUAGAAGCAGCCACCAUUUAAAGAGUGCGUAAUAGCUCACUGGUCGAGUGACUCUGCGCCGAAAAUGUACCGGGGCUAAACGUAUCACCGAAGCUGUGGAUUGACAUCUUUGAUGUCAGUGGUAGGAGAGCGUUCUAAGUGCUGUGAAGUCAGACCGUAAGGACUGGUGGAGCGCUUAGAAGUGAGAAUGCCGGUAUGAGUAGCGAAAGACAAGUGAGAAUCUUGUCCACCGAAUGCCUAAGGUUUCCUGAGGAAGGCUCGUCCGCUCAGGGUUAGUCGGGACCUAAGCCGAGGCUGAAAAGCGUAGGCGAUGGCCAACAGGUUGAUAUUCCUGUACCACCUCCCCGCCGUUUGAGUAAUGGGGGGACGCAGUAGGAUAGGGUAAGCGCGCUGCUGGAUAUGCGCGUUCAAGCAGUUAGGCUGAUGAGUAGGCAAAUCCGCUCAUCAUAAAGGCUGAGCUGUGAUGACGAGGGAAUUAUAGUACCGAAGUUCCUGAUUCCACACUGCCAAGAAAAGCCUCUAGCGAGGCGGGAGGUGCCCGUACCGCAAACCGACACAGGUAGGCGAGGAGAGAAUCCUAAGGUGAUCGAGAGAACUCUCGUUAAGGAACUCGGCAAAAUGACCCCGUAACUUCGGGAGAAGGGGUGCUCUGGUAGGGUGUAUAGCCCGAGAGAGCCGCAGUGAAUAGGCCCAGGCGACUGUUUAGCAAAAACACAGGUCUCUGCGAAGCCGCAAGGCGAAGUAUAGGGGCUGACGCCUGCCCGGUGCUGGCAGGUUCAGAGGAGGGGUUAUCCUUUGGGAGAAGCUCUGAAUCGAAGCCCCAGUAAACGGCGGCCGUAACUAUAACGGUCCUAAGGUCGCGAAAUUCCUUGUCGGGUAAGUUCCGACCCGCACGAAAGGCGUAACGAUCUGUGCCCUGUCUCAACGAGCGACUCGGUGCAAUUAUAGUACCUGUGCAGACGCACGUUCCCCCCGCCAGGACCGAAAGACCCCGUGCAUCUUUACUGUAGCCUGAUAUUGAAUUUUGGUACAGCUUGUACAGGAUAGGUAGGAGCCUGAGAAGCCGGAGCGCUAGCUUCGGUGGAGGCGUCGGUGGGAUACUACCCUGGCUGUAUUGAAAUUCUAACCCGCGGCCCUGAUCGGGCCGGGAGACAGUGUCAGGUGGGCAGUUUGACUGGGGCGGUCGCCUCCUAAAAUGUAACGGAGGCGCCCAAAGGUUCCCUCAGAAUGGUUGGAAAUCAUUCGUAGAGUGUAAAGGCACAAGGGAGCUUGACUGCGAGACCUACAAGUCGAGCAGGGACGAAAGUCGGGCUUAGUGAUCCGGUGGUUCCGCAUGGAAGGGCCAUCGCUCAACGGAUAAAAGCUACCCCGGGGAUAACAGGCUUAUCUCCCCCAAGAGUCCACAUCGACGGGGAGGUUUGGCACCUCGAUGUCGGCUCAUCGCAUCCUGGGGCUGUAGUCGGUCCCAAGGGUUGGGCUGUUCGCCCAUUAAAGCGGUACGCGAGCUGGGUUCAGAACGUCGUGAGACAGUUCGGUCCCUAUCCGUCGUGGGCGUAGGAAAUUUGAGAGGAGCUGUCCUUAGUACGAGAGGACCGGGAUGGACACACCGCUGGUGUACCAGUUGUCUUGCCAAAGGCAUCGCUGGGUAGCUAUGUGUGGACGGGAUAAGUGCUGAAAGCAUCUAAGCAUGAAGCCCCCCUCAAGAUGAGAUUUCCCAUAGCGCAAGCUAGUAAGAUCCCUGAAAGAUGAUCAGGUUGAUAGGUCAGAGGUGGAAGCGUGGCGACAUGUGUAGCUGACUGAUACUAAUCGAUCGAGGACUUAACCAAAUUUUA